rnacentral:rRNA from 1 species
GUGCCAGCAGCCGCGGUAAUACAGAGGGUGCAAGCGUUAAUCGGAAUUACUGGGCGUAAAGCGCGCGUAGGCGGUUAUUUAAGUCGGGUGUGAAAGCCCCGGGCUCAACCUGGGAAUUGCAUCCGAUACUGAGUAACUAGAGUAUGAGAGAGGGAGGUAGAAUUCCACGUGUAGCGGUGAAAUGCGUAGAUAUGUGGAGGAAUACCGGUGGCGAAGGCGGCCUCCUGGCUUAAUACUGACGCUGAGGUGCGAAAGCGUGGGGAUCAAACAGGAUUAGAUACCCUCGUAGUCC